rnacentral:rRNA from 1 species
AUACGUAGGUGGCGAGCGUUGUCCGGAAUUACUGGGCGUAAAGGAUGCGUAGGUGGAUAUUUAAGUGGGAUGUGAAAUCCCCGGGCUCAACCCGGGAACUGCAUUCCAAACUGGGUAUCUAGAGUGCAGGAGAGGAAAGCGGAAUUCCUAGUGUAGCGGUGAAAUGCGUAGAUAUUAGGAGGAACACCAGUGGCGAAGGCGGCUUUCUGGACUGUAACUGACCCUGAGGCAUGAAAGCGUGGGUAGCAAACAGGAUUAGAUACCCUGGUAGUCCACGCCGUAAACGAUGGGUACUAGGUGUAGGAGGUAUCGACCCCUUCUGUGCCGUCGUUAACACAAUAAGUACCCCGCCUGGGGAGUACGGUCGCAAGACUAAAACUCAAAGGAAUUGACGGGG